GACGAACGCUGGCGGCGUGGAUUAGGCAUGCAAGUUGAACGGUAUCAUCCUUUCGGGGGUGAGAGAGUGGCGAACUGGUGAGUAACACGUAGGUUAUCUACCCUCAAGACGGGGACAACCCAGGGAAACUUGGGCUAAUACCGGAUGUGAGCAACUUUUAGUUGUUUGAAAGGUGGCGUAAGCUGUCGCUUGGGGAUGAGCCUGCGUCCUAUUAGUUAGUUGGUGAGGUAACGGCUCACCUAGGCAAUGAUAGGUAGGCGGCCUUAACGGGUGGUCGCCCACACUGGGAUUGAGAUACGGCCCAGACUCCUACGGGAGGCAGCAGUCGAGAAUAGUCUACAAUGGACGGAAGUCUGAUAGUGCGACGCCGCGUGAACGAAGAAUCCCUUCGGGGUGUAAAGUUCUUUUAUACGUGAGCAGUGUCCUUUAUAUUAAUAGUAUAAGGGGAGAGAUAUUAGCGUAUGAAUAAGCAACGGCUAAACUCCGUGCCAGCCAGCCGCGGUAAGCUGUAGUCGU
rnacentral:rRNA from 1 species